GCUGGUUCUCCCCGAAAGCUAUUUAGGUAGCGCCUCGUGAAUUCAUCUCCGGGGGUAGAGCACUGUUUCGGCAAGGGGGUCAUCCCGACUUACCAACCCGAUGCAAACUGCGAAUACCGGAGAAUGUUAUCACGGGAGACACACGGCGGGUGCUAACGUCCGUCGUGAAGAGGGAAACAACCCAGACCGCCAGCUAAGGUCCCAAAGUCAUGGUUAAGUGGGAAACGAUGUGGGAAGGCCCAGACAGCCAGGAUGUUGGCUUAGAAGCAGCCAUCAUUUAAAGAAAGCGUAAUAGCUCACUGGUCGAGUCGGCCUGCGCGGAAGAUGUAACGGGGCUAAACCAUGCACCGAAGCUGCGGCAGCGACGCUGAUGCGUUGUUGGGUAGGGGAGCGUUCUGUAAGCCUGCGAAGGUGUGCUGUGAGGCAUGCUGGAGGUAUCAGAAGUGCGAAUGCUGACAUAAGUAACGAUAAAGCGGGUGAAAAGCCCGCUCGCCGGAAGACCAAGGGUUCCUGUCCAACGUUAAUCGGGGCAGGGUGAGUCGACCCCUAAGGCGAGGCCGAAAGGCGUAGUCGAUGGGAAACAGGUUAAUAUUCCUGUACUUGGUGUUACUGCGAAGGGGGGACGGAGAAGGCUAUGUUGGCCGGGCGACGGUUGUCCCGGUUUAAGCGUGUAGGCUGGUUUUCCAGGCAAAUCCGGAAAAUCAAGGCUGAGGCGUGAUGACGAGGCACUACGGUGCUGAAGCAACAAAUGCCCUGCUUCCAGGAAAAGCCUCUAAGCAUCAGGUAACAUCAAAUCGUACCCCAAACCGACACAGGUGGUCAGGUAGAGAAUACCAAGGCGCUUGAGAGAACUCGGGUGAAGGAACUAGGCAAAAUGGUGCCGUAACUUCGGGAGAAGGCACGCUGAUAUGUAGGUGAAGUCCCUCGCGGAUGGAGCUGAAAUCAGUCGAAGAUACCAGCUGGCUGCAACUGUUUAUUAAAAACACAGCACUGUGCAAACACGAAAGUGGACGUAUACGGUGUGACGCCUGCCCGGUGCCGGAAGGUUAAUUGAUGGGGUUAUCCGUAAGGAGAAGCUCUUGAUCGAAGCCCCGGUAAACGGCGGCCGUAACUAUAACGGUCCUAAGGUAGCGAAAUUCCUUGUCGGGUAAGUUCCGACCUGCACGAAUGGCGUAAUGAUGGCCAGGCUGUCUCCACCCGAGACUCAGUGAAAUUGAACUCGCUGUGAAGAUGCAGUGUACCCGCGGCAAGACGGAAAGACCCCGUGAACCUUUACUAUAGCUUGACACUGAACAUUGAGCCUUGAUGUGUAGGAUAGGUGGGAGGCUUUGAAGUGUGGACGCCAGUCUGCAUGGAGCCGACCUUGAAAUACCACCCUUUAAUGUUUGAUGUUCUAACGUUGACCCGUAAUCCGGGUUGCGGACAGUGUCUGGUGGGUAGUUUGACUGGGGCGGUCUCCUCCUAAAGAGUAACGGAGGAGCACGAAGGUUGGCUAAUCCUGGUCGGACAUCAGGAGGUUAGUGCAAUGGCAUAAGCCAGCUUGACUGCGAGCGUGACGGCGCGAGCAGGUGCGAAAGCAGGUCAUAGUGAUCCGGUGGUUCUGAAUGGAAGGGCCAUCGCUCAACGGAUAAAAGGUACUCCGGGGAUAACAGGCUGAUACCGCCCAAGAGUUCAUAUCGACGGCGGUGUUUGGCACCUCGAUGUCGGCUCAUCACAUCCUGGGGCUGAAGUAGGUCCCAAGGGUAUGGCUGUUCGCCAUUUAAAGUGGUACGCGAGCUGGGUUUAGAACGUCGUGAGACAGUUCGGUCCCUAUCUGCCGUGGGCGCUGGAGAACUGAGGGGGGCUGCUCCUAGUACGAGAGGACCGGAGUGGACGCAUCACUGGUGUUCGGGUUGUCAUGCCAAUGGCACUGCCCGGUAGCUAAAUGCGGAAGAGAUAAGUGCUGAAAGCAUCUAAGCACGAAACUUGCCCCGAGAUGAGUUCUCCCUGACCCUUUAAGGGUCCUGAAGGAACGUUGAAGACGACGACGUUGAUAGGCCGGGUGUGUAAGCGC
rnacentral:rRNA from 1 species